rnacentral:rRNA from 1 species
UACGAAGGGGGCUAGCGUUGCUCGGAAUCACGGGGCGUAAAGGGUGCGUAGGCGGGUCUUAAGUCGGAGGUGAAAUCCUGGAGCUCAACUCCAGAACUGCCUUUGAUACUGAGGAUCUUGAGUUCGGGAGAGGUGAGUGGAACUGCGAGUGUAGAGGUGAAAUUCGUAGAUAUUCGGAAGAACACCAGUGGCGAAGGCGGCUCACUGGACCGGUAUUGACGCUGAGGUGCGAAAGCGUGGGGGAGCAAACAGGG